CCUACGGGAGGCAGCAGUGGGGAAUAUUGGGCAAUGGGCGCAAGCCUGACCCAGCAACGCCGCGUGAAGGAAGAAGGCUUUCGGGUUGUAAACUUCUUUUCUCAGGGACGAAGCAAGUGACGGUACCUGAGGAAUAAGCCACGGCUAACUACGGGCCAGCAGCCGCGGUAAUACGUAGGUGGCAAGCGUUAUCCGGAUGUACUGGGUGUAAAGGGCGGGUAGGCGGGAAAGCAAGUCAGAUGUGAAAACCAUGGGCUCAACCUGUGGCCUGCAUUUGAAACUGUUUUUCUUGAGUACUGGAGAGGCAGACGGAAUUCCUAGUGUAGCGGUGAAAUGCGUAGAUAUUAGGAGGAACACCAGUGGCGAAGGCGGUCUGCUGGACAGCAACUGACGCUGAGGCGCGAAAGCGUGGGGAGCAAACAGGAUUAGAUACCCUAGUAGUC
rnacentral:rRNA from 1 species